rnacentral:tRNA from 1 species
GCUCCUGUGGCGCAAUCGGUUAGCGCAUCGUACUUAUAAUCAGUAUUGUUGUGUAAUGCGGGGGUUGCGAGUUCGAUCCUCGCCAGGAGCA